rnacentral:rRNA from 1 species
UACGGAGGGUGCAAGCGUUAUCCGGAUUCACUGGGUUUAAAGAGUGCGUAGGUGGGCAGGUAAGUCAGUGGUGAAAUCUCCGGGCUUAACCCGGAAACUGCCGUUGAUACUAUUUGUCUUGAAUAUUGUGGAGGUAAGCGGAAUAUGUCAUGUAGCGGUGAAAUGCUUAGAUAUGACAUAGAACACCAAUUGCGAAGGCAGCUUACUACACAAUGAUUGACACUGAGGCACGAAAGCGUGGGGAUCAAACAGG